rnacentral:rRNA from 1 species
UGCUUAGCCGUAAAAAAUCUAAUUACACCUAAAUCGCCAGGGUACUACAAGCGCAAGCUUAAAACCCAAAGGACUUGACGGUACCCCACCCACCUAGAGGAGCCUGUUCUGUAAUCGACCCCCCCCGUUAAACCUCACUGCUUUUUGCUAAUCAGUUAGUAUACCUCCGUCGCAAGCCUGCCGUAUGAACGAACCCAAGCAGGCCCAAAGAUCUAUCCACCCAAACGUCAGGUCAAGGUGCAGCUCACAAAGCAGAAAGAAAUGGGCUACAAUUUCUACCAUAGAACAUACGAAAAACCUCAAUGAAAUCCGGUCAAGAAGGCGGAUUUAGUAGUAAAAAGAAAAUAGAGAGUUCUUUUUAAUCGAGCACUGGGGCAUGU